GGCUAAUAAUGCGGGGUUCAGAUUAACGAAGUUUCCAUAUAUACAGGGAUCAAAUUAACGCGGCUUCCAUAUAACGCAGCGUUCGGGUUAAUGAGGUUUCAGUAUAUACAGGUUUCGGAUUUGAUUGUAUUUUUAAUUUCUUAAGUUCGAAUAUAUAUACGUGAUGUGUGAA